GGCCGGCCGGCCCAGUACUUCCUGACCUGCUGCAGAUCCACAAGGGACAAGCAAUGAUUCCACCACCUGAGAUGUAGAUCUCUACCACUCCUCGAGAGCUUACGGGACACUUCCUGGUGGGUGAGCAGUGUAGCAGGAACAGCCUUGGCAGCAGGAACAACCUUGGUCUCGGAAGAGAUCAGCACCACAGGAAAACGGGGUAGAAGGGAAG